UACGUAGGUGGCAAGCGUUAUCCGGAUUUAUUGGGCGUAAAGCGAGCGCAGGCGGUUGCUUAGGUCUGAUGUGAAAGCCUUCGGCUUAACCGAAGAAGUGCAUCGGAAACCGGGCGACUUGAGUGCAGAAGAGGACAGUGGAACUCCAUGUGUAGCGGUGGAAUGCGUAGAUAUAUGGAAGAACACCAGUGGCGAAGGCGGCUGUCUGGUCUGCAACUGACGCUGAGGCUCGAAAGCAUGGGUAG
rnacentral:rRNA from 1 species